rnacentral:rRNA from 1 species
CUUUCACUCUGGCGGCAGGCCUAACACAUGCAAGUCGAGCGGAUGAAGGGAGCUUGCUCCUGGAUUCAGCGGCGGACGGGUGAGUAAUGCCUAGGAAUCUGCCUGGUAGUGGGGGAUAACGUCCGGAAACGGGCGCUAAUACCGCAUACGUCCUGAGGGAGAAAGUGGGGGAUCUUCGGACCUCACGCUAUCAGAUGAGCCUAGGUCGGAUUAGCUAGUUGGUGGGGUAAAGGCCUACCAAGGCGACGAUCCGUAACUGGUCUGAGAGGAUGAUCAGUCACACUGGAACUGAGACACGGUCCAGACUCCUACGGGAGGCAGCAGUGGGGAAUAUUGGACAAUGGGCGAAAGCCUGAUCCAGCCAUGCCGCGUGUGUGAAGAAGGUCUUCGGAUUGUAAAGCACUUUAAGUUGGGAGGAAGGGCAGUAAGUUAAUACCUUGCUGUUUUGACGUUACCAACAGAAUAAGCACCGGCUAACUUCGUG